rnacentral:lncRNA from 1 species
UCUUCUCCUAUAUGACCAAGCCUGAGGUGCCACAAAUACUUUAGAUUUAUCUCAUCUCUAGAUCCUUUUGGAUCCUAUGGUACUCACUGUUUGCUCAGAUACAUUCACAGGUACAUCCAAAUGUAAGUGAUAGAGACGGUCAAUCAUAAAACCAUAUGCAUCCAAUUUAUUUCUCAAACAAAUUGAACAAUAGUCUUAUAAAAAUCUUUCUGUGCUAAACAAGAUACAGAAAUCAAAUUUCUGUUUGCAACAGGUAACAGUCCCUAAAUAUCCUAAGCAUAUCUGACAUACCUUCUGAAGGUCUGUCACCCUUAUUGCUCUUUAUGCUUCCCAUGCAUGUAGGACAGUUCAUCUUCCAAUGGCCAUUUCAUGAUGUAAUGGAAACGCUUUCCCUUGCAUUCGGCCUUUUCUUGGAACUUCCUUGCUUGGCCUUUUCUCGGUCUUCUGCUUCUUCGCAGGCUUCUUCUUCUUCCAGGUAGACUCUCUCUUGGAAGUAGAAACCAACUCGACAGCAAGAACGAUGCCCCUUGAACUCUUUAAGGUCCCUAAGGUAGUUACCAAUUUAUUUAACAAUUCUAUUUUAGUGCAUACAACUGUUGNNNNNNNNNNNNNNNNNNNNNNNNNNNNNNNNNNNNNNNNNNAACUUAACUUAGCUAAUUAAAACUUUGUGGAUGAUUAACGAAAUACUAUAGCCAGUUAUUUAAUUAAAGCUAAGUGCUGUGAGUAAUGUGUGGGGAAGAAGAUGAGAGACAAUGCACUACAAACACAAAGUUUUAUAGUGGUUCGGAGCUAACCCUUGCUCCUACGUCCACUCCCCAAGUCUCACUUGGGAAUUUCACUAUAACCCCCUUGGAUUACAGCCGGUUGUUUUGCAAGCUCACAACCGAACUUGUUGUUUUACGAGCUCACAACGAACUCGGUCGGUUUUUCCAGGCUCACCGACUAGAACCAACCCCGAUUGUUUUCCCGGGCUCACAAUCAAACCCUUACACUCGUUGGUUUUAAACCGGCUCACCAACC